GCUUACGAUCAUACCACGCUGAGUAUACGCGAACUCGUCAGAUCCCGCAAGUCAAGCAGCGUCGGGCCUGGUCAGUACUUGGAUCGGAGACGGCUUGGGAAUCCCAGGUGUCGUAAGCU
rnacentral:rRNA from 1 species